GACCUUGUGGCGCAACGGUUGCGCAUCUGACUCCAGAUCAGAAGGUUGUGUGUUCAAGCCACAUCAAGGUCA
rnacentral:tRNA from 1 species